UGUACGUCGUUCUGCAUCUGUGGCCAAUAGUAUCGCUCCUGCAAAUUCCUUAACGUUUUGAAUUGACCAAAAUGAGUGGUGUCAUGUGCUUCCUGUAGUAAUUGGUUUCUUUCCUGCAUUGGUGGGCCCAACGGACAAGUUUAGCUGAACCUCCCUCAGCGCUGAUACGACGUAGCCAAAUGAGACUCUGAACGUUAGUGACGACAGUAAAUUUUGAGCCUUCGACAAAAUGUCGAAACUUCUCGAUGGCUAGUAUUACACCAAGGCACUCCUUCUCUGUUGGUGCAUAUUUCCUCUGUGAUGUGGACAACUUUCUGGAGAAGAACGCUACCGGGCGUCGAAGUCCGUUAUGGAUUUGUACCAAGACUGCACCAACAGCGACGUCGGAGGCGUCGGACUCGAUGAUGAACGGGAGCUGAAAAUCUGGAUUUGCAAGGACAUUUGGUGAGAUCAGAGUUGGAUUAAUGAAAAUAUUAAGAAACUAUUUACCUCUAAUUCUAUUAGGGAUACAGAAAAAAAAUCACUAUGUCCUAUUCACUAUGUAAAUAAGUUUUGUUUUUAUAUUGAUACAAUUUGCUUAUGUACUACCUAAACUGUAAAAAUUUCCAAAAUAAUUCACUAAAUCUCACCAAUCAAUUCCCGGCUAGGGUGGUAUCCCUAGGGCGUUCCACCGUUAACCUACAGGGGACUAAAUCGCGAAACCGACCUAGGAACGAGCGUGUACAACAACUUCCAUCUCACAACCGUUCGACUUUCGUCUCAUCAGGAAUCGUAGCAUAAAAAUAUACACUAAUUCACAUCUUAGAUUUAUUAUUCAUUACAUCCUCAUCCGAAUUCUUGCUGUCCACGCUGCUGACGAUGAAUGAACUUACGUGUCUGCUGACACGUGCGGAACUUGU